rnacentral:lncRNA from 1 species
UGUCCCGUUCGUUGACGCGAGCAGAGUGUGCGCGGAGUGGUCGCUGUGGGUUCCCCGAAGGAAAAAAAAAGAAAAAGAAGUGGCGCCCACUGUUGCGGUGACUCCCCGGUAUUGCGCUGAUUUCGACCGUGAUUUCAAAGAGCGUGUUGAAUUGAAAGCAACGACAAGCAUCUGUAGACUCCACGGCUCCGUCGGACUUUGGUGCACCACGUUGCGUGGGGACUGCCAAGUUCGAAAACAGAGGGGUGCACUCUGCGUGCAGUGAAAACUGUGUUGAUUUUGACAAAUCGAAAGUGUAGCAAAACUUGUCGCCCGUGUUCUCUGUUCUUGUGACUUAUAAUUGUGAGGCGUUGUCUCAGAACUUUCUCUCGGAUAUAGUUCCUUGUGAGUUUGACGAUCCGUUCAUUCUUGGCGAAUUCGAAGUGACACGUGGUUUGAACUCUGUGCUACAAAGAAAUGAGUGGCGCAGCCGUCCUCUGCUAGCCCGUGAUUUGUGAAACACACCAGGUGCGCUUUCUUGCGGACGUUCGAUGCCGCUGAGCAACUUUCCAUUUCGCCACCAUGGCGUGCGUCGGACACACCACACCAGACUCGACCAACCAAUCGAUGCGGUCGUUUAUGUCAGCGUUGUGUUCGUGCUAUUCGCGGCCAUCAUCCUCCUACUGGUGGCAACCACUUGCCGUCGCUUCCAGCCGGGCGGUUUAUCCAGCCCGCCAGAAGAGCCACCAGAAAAUAACAGUGAACCACGGACAACGAUAGUCAGGCUGAAGGACCACAGCACCCGUGUGUGCACCGAGACGCUGCCGACGAGAAACACUGUGUAAAAAGGGCAGCAAUAA